ACUCACUCAACCUGGGUGUGAUGUGUGCACUAGUUGCUCGGCCCAUCACAACCUCCUUGAGUGAGC
rnacentral:pre_miRNA from 1 species